rnacentral:rRNA from 1 species
AGUGAACGCUGGCGGUAGGCCUAACACAUGCAAGUCGAACGGCAGCACAGUAAGAGUUUGCUCUUACGGGUGGCGAGUGGCGGACGGGUGAGGAAUACAUCGGAAUCUACUUUUUCGUGGGGGAUAACGUAGGGAAACUUACGCUAAUACCGCAUACGACCUACGGGUGAAAGCAGGGGAUCUUCGGACCUUUCGCGAUUGAAUGAGCCGAUGUCGGAUUAGCUAGUUGGCGGGGUAAAGGCCCACCAAGGCGACGAUCCGUAGCUGGUCUGAGAGGAUGAUCAGCCACACUGGAACUGAGACACGGUCCAGACUCCUACGGGAGGCAGCAGUGGGGAAUAUUGGGCAAUGGGCGCAAGCCUGAUCCAGCCAUACCGCGUGGGUGAAGAAGGCCUUCGGGUUGUAAAGCCCUUUUGUUGGGAAAGAAAAGCAGCGGGUGAAUACCCCGCUGUUCUGACGGUACCCAAAGAAUAAGCACCGGCUAACUUCGUG